GCAUCGUUUUUCUCAACAGGCGCUUUGGAGUGAACGUCGCGGCGCGAUACCGAAUGAAAACACGUGAAGUUCGCAUCGCCGUUUGGAAAGAGUGGCGAAGGAUUCGUGGCCAGUGAUAGAUGUUGGUUGAUGAUAAUUAAUUAUGACGUAAUUGAAACUUACGUUAGUUUAUAGAUUAGAUAAGAAAUAUCAACGGUAGUUUCCAGCUAAUACAUUUGUGACUUCUACUCCCAACUUCGUUCUUCAAGUGAGCUCCAAAAUCUCCGGUAAAUCCUUGGACCGAAAACUACUAGCUUCAAACUCCGGUACUCGUUGUUCACUUCUAAUUUCCUUAACUUGUAAAAUAAUUACUGUAACAAAGAUAUCAAGCACCUACAUGUUUCACCUUCCAGUGCUAAUGUUUGUCCAGAACGUUAAAUGUGAUUCGUUCGAGUGACAGUAAAACGUUUGUUCGUUUGUUCGGUGAUCAGAGUGAACUGAAAUGAUUCGCAGACAUUGAACGUGAUCACUUGACGAUUCCAACUGACCGCUCUAAAAUCGGUGCUUGAAAGUGACUGAUCGCCUCUUUUGUGUUCUUCUGUAACCUGAAACUGUUUCCCGGUAUCUAAAGACUUCGCGAUUCAUAAAAGUGACAUCGUACAUUGGAGGAGUCCUCUCGACUACGGACAAAGCGCCCGGCAUUAUGUAACUUUUUCAUACCAUCAUUAAACCAAAGACAAGAUGAA